GAUGAACGCUGGCGGCGUGCUUAACACAUGCAAGUCGAACGAAGCGGCUUUACGGAAGUUUUCGGAUGGAAGUGAGGUUGACUGAGUGGCGGACGGGUGAGUAACGCGUGGGUAACCUGCCUCAUACAGGGGGAUAACAGUUAGAAAUGACUGCUAAUACCGCAUAAGCGCACAGUACCGCAAGGUACAGUGUGAAAAACUCCGGUGGGAUGAGAUGGACCCGCGUCUGAUUAGCUAGUUGGUGAGGUAACGGCCCACCAAGGCGACGAUCAGUAGCCGACCUGAGAGGGUGACCGGCCACAUUGGGACUGAGACACGGCCCAAACUCCUACGGGAGGCAGCAGUGGGGAAUAUUGCACAAUGGGCGAAAGCCUGAUGCAGCGACGCCGCGUGAGCGAAGAAGUAUUUCGGUAUGUAAAGCUCUAUCAGCAGGGAAGAUAAUGACGGUACCUGACUAAGAAGCCCCGGCUAACUACGUGCCAGCCGCCGCUGUAACAC
rnacentral:rRNA from 1 species